rnacentral:rRNA from 1 species
GUGCCAGCCGCCGCGGUAAUACGUAGGUGGCGAGCGUUGUCCGGAUUUACUGGGCGUAAAGGAUGCGUAGGCGGAUAUUUAAGUGAGAUGUGAAAUACCCGAGCUUAACUUGGGUGCUGCAUUUCAAACUGGAUAUCUAGAGUGUGGGAGAGGAGAAUGGAAUUCCUAGUGUAGCGGUGAAAUGCGUAGAGAUUAGGAAGAACACCAGUGGCGAAGGCGAUUCUCUGGACCAUAACUGACGCUGAGGCAUGAAAGCGUGGGUAGCAAACAGGAUUAGAAACCCCCGUAGUCC